rnacentral:rRNA from 1 species
GACGAACGCUGGCGGCGUGCCUAAUACAUGCAAGUCGAACGCAGUGGGGACGGGUGAGUAACACGUGGGUAACCUCCCAUCAGAGGGGAUAACACUUGGAAACAGGUGCUAAACCGAUACUGAUGGAUGGACCCGCGGUGCAUUAGCUAGUUGGUGGGGUAACGGCUCACCAAGGCCACGAUGCAUAGCCGACCGGUGAAGGGUAUCGGCCCCCAUUGGACUGGGAAACGGCCCAGACUCCUACGGGAGGGAGCAGUAGGGAAUCUUUGGCAAUGGACGGAAGGCUGAACGGGCAACGCCGCGUGAGUGAAGAAGGUUUUCGGAUCGGAAAGCCCUGUUGUUAGAGAAGCGGUAACUAACCAGAAAGGGACGGCUAACUACGUGCCAGCAGCCGCGGUAAUUC